rnacentral:rRNA from 1 species
UACGAAGGGUGCAAGCGUUACUCGGAAUUACUGGGCGUAAAGCGUGCGUAGGUGGUUCGUUAAGUCUGUCGUGAAAGCCCCGGGCUCAACCUGGGAAUGGCGAUGGAUACUGGCGGGCUAGAGUGCGGUAGAGGAGAGUGGAAUUCCCGGUGUAGCAGUGAAAUGCGUAGAGAUCGGGAGGAACACCUAUGGCGAAGGCAGCUCGCUGGGACGUUACUGACGCUGAGACGCGAAAGCGUGGGGAGCAAACAGG